CCUACGGGCGGCAGCAGUGGGGAAUAUUGGACAAUGGGGGCAACCCUGAUCCAGCCAUGCCGCGUGUGUGAAGAAGGCCCUCGGGUUGUAAAGCACUUUCAGUGAGGAAGAACGCCUGGUGGUUAAUACCCAUCAGGAAAGACAUCACUCACAGAAGAAGCACCGGCUGAACUCCGUGCCAGCAGCCGCGGUAAUACGGAGGGUGCGAGCGUUAAUCGGAAUUACUGGGCGUAAAGCGCGCGUAGGUGGCUUGAUAAGCCGGUUGUGAAAGCCCCGGGCUCAACCUGGGAACGGCAUCCGGAACUGUCAAGCUAGAGUGCAGGAGAGGAAGGUAGAAUUCCCGGUGUAGCGGUGAAAUGCGUAGAGAUCGGGAGGAAUACCAGUGGCGAAGGCGGCCUUCUGGACUGACACUGACACUGAGGUGCGAAAGCGUGGGUAGCAAACAGGAUUAGAUACCCUGGUAGUC
rnacentral:rRNA from 1 species